rnacentral:ncRNA from 1 species
ACACCCGUGAAAACGCCCUUUUACCCCCAUAGGAUUAAGGAGCUGAUAUCAGGCGUUUUAAUAAACCCAAAACAUCUAGCCACGCCACGCCCCCAAGGGUACUCAGCAGUGAUUAAUAUUAAAUAUUAACGUCAGUUUGAUUUAGUUAAUGAAAACAGGGCCGGCCAACCUGGUGCCAGCCGCCGCGGUUAAACCAUGCGGCCCAAAUUGAUCCCCACCGGCGUAAAGCGUGAUUAAAGACCUACCACAAUGAGGUUAAACCCGAACUAAGCUGUAAAAUGCUUGUUAAAGUAAGCCCGAACCCGAAAGAUACCUCAUCUACUUUCUUGAAUUCACGAUAAUUAGGAUAUAAACUGGGAUUAGAUACCCCACUAUACCUAGUCAUAAACUUUAACUUACACCACAAUCGCCUGGGAACUACGAGCAAAGCUUAAAACCCAAGGGACUUGACGGUACCCCGCAUCCCCCUAGAGGAGCCUGUCCUAUAAUCGAUAACCCCCGUUCAACCUCACCACUUUUAGCCUAUCAGCCUGUAUACUUCCGUCGUCAGCUUACCACAUGAGUGAGAUAAGUAAGCUUAAUAUGCCUCACCCAUCACACGUCAGGUCAAAGUGCAGUAAAUACAGUGGGAAGAGAUGGGCUACACUUUCUACCUUAGAAAAUACGAAAGAUCUUAUGAAAUAGUAUCAGAAGGCGGAUUUAGUAGUAAGGGUGGAAUAGAGUACCCCCCUUAAUUCGGCACCGAGGUGUGUACACACCGCCCGUCACCCUCUUCAGUAACCCCCCCCACUUAGUAAAUAACAACCCCCCCCCGUAUUACCUAGAAGAGGCAAGUCGUAACAUGGUAAGUGUACCGGAAGGUGUGCUUGGAAA